GAUGAACGCUGGCGGCGUGCCUAAUACAUGCAAGUCGAGCGAAUGGAUUAAGAGCUUGCUCUUAUGAAGUUAGCGGCGGACGGGUGAGUAACACGUGGGUAACCUGCCCAUAAGACUGGGAUAACUCCGGGAAACCGGGGCUAAUACCGGAUAAUAUUUUGAACUGCAUGGUUCAAAAUCGAAAGGCGGCUUCGGCUGUCACUUAUGGAUGUACCCGCGUCGCAUUAGCUAGUUGGUGAGGUAACGGCUCACCAAGGCAACGAUGCGUAGCCUACCUGAGAGGGUGAUCGGCCACACUGGGACUGAGACACGGCCCAGACUCCUACGGGAGGCAGCAGUAGGGAAUCUUCCGCAAUGGACGAAAGUCUGACGGAGCAACGCCGCGUGAGUGAUGAAGGCUUUCGGGUCGUAAAACUCUGUUGUUAGGGAAGAACAAGUGCUAGUUGAAUAAGCUGGCACCUUGACGGUACCUAACCAGAAAGCCACGGCUAACUACGUGCCAGCCGCCGCAGUAA
rnacentral:rRNA from 1 species